ensembl:lncRNA
AAACAAACAAAAAAAACCCCAAAUCCACCCCAAAAACGGCACCAUUUAUUUCACAGUGUUCGCACGGCUCCAUGGGGCGCUAUGGGGCGCCAUGGGGCGCUAUGGGGCGCUAUGGGGCGCCAUGGGGUGCCGUGGGGCGCUAUGGGGCGCUAUGGGGUGCUGUGGGGGUGCCCUGAGGUGCUAUGGGGUGUUGUGGGGUGCUAUGGGGCGCUAUGGGGCGCUAUGGGGGGCUGUGGGGCGCUAUGGGGAACCAUGGGGUGCUAUGGGGUGCCCUGAGGUGCUAUGGGGCGCUGUGGGGCACCAUGGGGUGCUAUGGGGUGCUGUGGGGCACUGUGGGGCACCAUGGGGUGCUAUGGGGCGCUGUGGGGUGCCCUGAGGUGCAAUGGGGCGCUGUGGGGCACCAUGGGGUGCUAUGGGGCGCUGUGGGGCGCUAUGGGGCAUCAUGGGGUGCUAUGGGGCACUGUGGGGUGCAAUGGGGGGCUGUGGGGCGCCAUGGGGCGCUGUGGGGUGCUGUGGGGGUGCCCUGAGGUGCUAUGGGGUGUUGUGGGGUGCUAUGGGGCACUAUGGGGCACCAUGGGGGGCUGUGGGGCGCUAUGGGGUGCCGUGGGGUGAUAUGGGGUGCCCUGAGGCGCUAUGGGGCGUUAUGGGGUGCUGUGGGGUGCUAUGGGGCAUCAUGGGGUGCUAUGGGGCGCUGUGGGGUGCAAUGGGGGGCUGUGGGGCACUAUGGGGCACCAUGGGGUGCUAUGGGGCGCCGUGGGGUGCUAUGGGGGGCUAUGGGGCGCUGUGGGGUGCUGUGGAGCGGUAUGGGGUACCAUGGGGCACUAUGGGGCGCUAUGGGGUGCUAUGGGGAGCUAUAGGGGGCUAUGAGGCACUAUGGGGGGCUAUGGGGCACCAUGGGGUGCUAUGGGGCGCUGUGGGGCGCUAUGGGGCACAGUGGGCUGCUAUGGGGCCCUAUGAGGCACUGUGGGGCACAUUGGGGUGCUAUGGGGCACAGUGGGGUGCUAUGGGGCGCCAUGGGGUGCAGUGAGGCGCUAUGGGGCACUAUAGGGCGCUAUGAG